AGGUGGAGAGCAGGUGAGGUAGAGCAGGUAGCAGGUAGGUGGCGCCUCACAGGAUCACUGAAGGAUUAAAACAUUUGGAAGUGAAUUUCAGUGAGAAGCUUCAUCCUAAGAUAAUGAAAUGUAUUGUUUAGAAAGACAAGAGUAAAGAAGAUAUGCUGGAAUAUUUGCUUGCUAAAAAUGUUUAUCUUCAUAGUGUACACAGCUUGUAUGAUAGUUAAGUCAGUGUUUGAUAAGCCUGCCAAUGUUAACACUACACUACAUAUUAGGUUAGGUUAGGUUAGGAAACUUGAGAUGAAGUUACAGAGAGAAGGAUAGAAGCCAUAG